AUGAACGCUGGCGGCGUGCCUAAUACAUGCAGGUCGAGCGAACGGACGAGAAGCUUGCUUCUCUGAUGUUAGCGGCGGACGGGUGAGUAACACGUGGAUAACCUACCUAUAAGACUGGGAUAACUUCGGGAAACCGGAGCUAAUACCGGAUAAUAUUUUGAACCGCAUGGUUCAAAAGUAAAAGACGGUCUUGCUGUCACUUAUAGAUGGAUCCGCGCUGCAUUAGCUAGUUGGUAAGGUAACGGCUUACCAAGGCAACGAUGCAUAGCCGACCUGAGAGGGUGAUCGGCCACACUGGAACUGAGACACGGUCCAGACUCCUACGGGAGGCAGCAGUAGGGAAUCUUCCGCAAUGGGCGAAAGCCUGACGGAGCAACGCCGCGUGAGUGAUGAAGGUCUUCGGAUCGUAAAACUCUGUUAUUAGGGAAGAACAUAUGUGCAAGUAACUGUGCACAUCUUGACGGUACCUAAUCAGAAAGCCACGGCUAACUACGUG
rnacentral:rRNA from 1 species